GGAAGAUGUAUACCAUAGUUAAAUUUUGUUUAUGAAAAGAGAGAGAUGUAUACCAUAGUUAAAUGUUGUUUAUAAAGAGAGAGAUGUAUACCAUAGUUAAAUGUUGUUUAUGAAGAGACAUGUCUACCAUAGUUAAAUGUUGCUUGUAUAGAGGAGAUAUAGAAAUAUGCUAACAAAGCAAGAAAGAUCAGGAAAGAUCAUGAAUG